ensembl:snRNA U6 U6 spliceosomal RNA
GUGCUCACUUUGGCAGCACAUAUACUAAAAUUGAAACGAUACAGAGAAGAUUAGCAUGGCCCCUGCACAAGAAUGACACACAAAUUUGUGAAUCAUUCCAUAUUUUU